rnacentral:rRNA from 1 species
UUGAAGAGUUUGAUCAUGGCUCAGAUUGAACGCUGGCGGCAGGCCUAACACAUGCAAGUCGAGCGGUAGCACAGAGAGCUUGCUCUCGGGUGACGAGCGGCGGACGGGUGAGUAAUGUCUGGGAAACUGCCUGAUGGAGGGGGAUAACUACUGGAAACGGUAGCUAAUACCGCAUAACGUCGCAAGACCAAAGUGGGGGACCUUCGGGCCUCAUGCCAUCAGAUGUGCCCAGAUGGGAUUAGCUAGUAGGUGGGGUAACGGCUCACCUAGGCGACGAUCCCUAGCUGGUCUGAGAGGAUGACCAGCCACACUGGAACUGAGACACGGUCCAGACUCCUACGGGAGGCAGCAGUGGGGAAUAUUGCACAAUGGGCGCAAGCCUGAUGCAGCCAUGCCGCGUGUGAAGAAGGCCUUCGGGUUGUAAAGCACUUUCAGCGGGGAGGAAGGCGUUAAGGUUAAUAACCUUGGCGAUUGACGUUACCCGCAGAAGAAGCACCGGCUAACUCCGUGCCAGCAGCCGCGGUAAUACGGAGGGUGCAAGCGUUAAUCGGAAUUACUGGGCGUAAAGCGCACGCAGGCGGUCUGUCAAGUCGGAUGUGAAAUCCCCGGGCUCAACCGGGAACUGCAUUCGAAACUGGCAGGCUAGAGUCUUGUAGAGGGGUAGAAUUCGUGUAGCGGUGAAAUGCGUAGAGAUCUGGAGGAAUACCGGUGGCGAAGGCGGCCCCCUGGACAAAGACUGACGCUCAGGUGCGAAAGCGUGGGGAGCAAACAGGAUUAGAUACCCUGGUAGUCCACGCCGUAAACGAUGUCGAUUUGGAGGUUGUGCCCUUGAGGCGUGGCUUCCGGAGCUAACGCGUUAAAUCGACCGCCUGGGGAGUACGGCCGCAAGGUUAAAACUCAAAUGAAUUGACGGGGGCCCGCACAAGCGGUGGAGCAUGUGGUUUAAUUCGAUGCAACGCGAAGAACCUUACCUGGUCUUGACAUCCACAGAACUUUCCAGAGAUGGAUUGGUGCCUUCGGGAACUGUGAGACAGGUGCUGCAUGGCUGUCGUCAGCUCGUGUUGUGAAAUGUUGGGUUAAGUCCCGCAACGAGCGCAACCCUUAUCCUUUGUUGCCAGCGGUCCGGCCGGGAACUCAAAGGAGACUGCCAGUGAUAAACUGGAGGAAGGUGGGGAUGACGUCAAGUCAUCAUGGCCCUUACGACCAGGGCUACACACGUGCUACAAUGGCAUAUACAAAGAGAAGCGACCUCGCGAGAGCAAGCGGACCUCAUAAAGUAUGUCGUAGUCCGGAUUGGAGUCUGCAACUCGACUCCAUGAAGUCGGAAUCGCUAGUAAUCGUAGAUCAGAAUGCUACGGUGAAUACGUUCCCGGGCCUUGUACACACCGCCCGUCACACCAUGGGAGUGGGUUGCAAAAGAAGUAGGUAGCUUAACCUUCGGGAGGGCGCUUACCACUUUGUGAUUCAUGACUGGGGUGAAGUCGUAACAAGGUAACCGUAGGGGAACCUGCGGUUGGAUCACCUCCUU